CACAACACAUUAACUCACAACACAACACAAUAACUCACAACACAACACUUUACUACAUUGUGCAAUAAAGUUGUUGGGGGAAAGACAAGGGCAAAUCCAGGGGAAGAAAACCCCCUGUUGAAUAUUUCAAUUAUCUUAAUAUUCAUUAAUUAUUAAGAUUUGAAAGCUAUGUUAUCUUCUGACCCAAUUUCUCCACCACCCCUCCCCCCUUUUGCCAUCUGACCCAGCCAGCAGGGGUUGCAUGCUUGUACAGAACUGGUGCCCAAGCAGCUCAACAAAACCACUGCAUAAAAGGUCAAAGGGGGUCUCCAUCAAGUGGAUCAGGGAUGGUGACCUGGAUGGAUACCACAGAGGUCUCCCUUUGCACACUUUAUCUGGUUUAAGGGGGGGAGAAGUGUCUGUUUUGGCAAAAAAUAGAUGAUGACCACAGCCAGAAGGCCAAAUCCCCAGACCCACCAAAAAGCCAUGAGAGGGAACACGACUGUCCUCUAGCAGCCAUCAUCCAGAAGGCGCUUUCCUUCACACGGCAGGAGCAGCUGUUUGCGAAGCCACUCAGCGACCCACUUGCUGUGCCACCUCCCACUCAAGGCCAUCUUCCCAGCCCCACCAGAGAAGGCUGCACACUGACAUGCAGCAGAGAGCAAUCAAGAGGAGGAACCAGUCUGUUUUCUGCAAAAGAAGCCCUCCUUGGAUGUGAAAGGGAACGGGAGCUAGGCUUUACAAUUUACCACACAUGAUCAAAAACAUUCCCUUUUAUCACUGGACUUCAAAAUGCUGCAGAAAAGGUAAUAAUAAAAUGAUCAAAAUACA